GUCCUGUGUUUAACAGGUUUAUAUAUAAGUAAAUUACUUGCGGGAAUGGCUGUCUGUUUGAACAAAAUCUUCUGUUACAUCGUCUCUAAUUGUAUCACCAACUCUAUCCUCUGCACUGCAUCCUUUUUGCACUAUCUGCAACCUUUUAAAAGAUAGGAAGAGGGGCUCGAGAAACUCACGGCUAUGGAUGUCGAGGACUUCGCGUUUUCAG